GGGGAUGCAAAGGUUUCGACGGGGAUCGUGAGCCUUAGUAAGCGAGCAGCGGUGCGGGACCGCUUUAAUCCUCCGCAACUAAAAAUAAACGACAAAAAAGUCAUUAACUUCGCCAACUAUUCCAAUAGGAUGGCGUACGCUGCUUAAUUAAAGCGGCUCGUCUUUACCGGGAGUACCGCGGCCCGGAUAAAGGCGUCAUUUAGCGGUGCACGUGAACAGGCCCACGCCUUUAAGCCUGUCACGGACUAAAGGCUACCAAGGCGCGAAGCUUUCCGAUUAGCGUCGCGCUGAGGGAAUCUUAAAGAAUCGGAUACGCUCGUAGAAAGCUUUGGUAAGUGGUUUUCGGACAGGAGUUCGAUUCUCCUCAUCUCCACCA
rnacentral:tmRNA from 2 species